GCGCCAAUAGCUCAGUUGGAUAGAGCAACCGCCUUCUAAGCGGUAGGUCAGGGGUUCAAAUCCCUUUUGGCGUG
rnacentral:tRNA from 1 species